rnacentral:rRNA from 1 species
GACGAACGCUGGCGGCGUGCUUAACACAUGCAAGUCGAACGGAAAGGCCCUGCUUUUGUGGGGUGCUCGAGUGGCGAACGGGUGCGUAACACGUGAGUAACCUGCCCUUGACUUUGGUAUAACUUCAGGAAACUGGGGCUAAUACCGGAUAGGAGCUCCUGCUGCAUGGUGGGGGUCGGAAAGUUUCGGCGGUUGGGGAUGGACUCGCGGCUUAUCAGCUUGUUGGUGGGGUAGUGGCUUACCAAGGCUUUGACGGGUAGCCGGCAUGAGAGGGUGACCGGCCACAUUGGGACUGAGAUACGGCCCAGACUCCUACGGGAGGCAGCAGUGGGGAAUAUUGCACAAUGGGCGGAAGCCUGAUGCAGAAACGCCGCGUGCGGGAUGACGGCCUGCGGGUUGUAAACCGCUGUCGCCUGUGACGAAGCGUGAGUGACGGUAAUGGGUAAAGAAGCACCGGCUAACUACGUG